AGGACGAACGCUGGCUGCGUGCUUAACACAUGCAAGUCGAGCGGUAAGGCCUUUCGGGGUACACGAGCGGCGAACGGGUGAGUAACACGUGGGUGAUCUGCCCUGCACUCUGGGAUAAGCCUGGGAAACUGGGUCUAAUACCGGAUAUGACCUGCUCUCGCAUGGGGGGUGGGGUGGAAAAGAUUUAUCGGUGCAGGAUGGGCCCGCGGCCUAUCAGCUUGUUGGUGGGGUAAAUGGCCUACCAAGGGCGACGACGGGGUAGCCGACCUGAGAGGGUGACCGGCCACACUGGGACUGAGACACGGCCCAGACUCCUACGGGAGGCAGCAGUGGGGAAAUAUUGCACAAAUGGGGCGAAAAGCCUGAUGCAGGCGACGCCGCGUGAGGGGAUGAAAGGCCUUCGGGUCGUAAACCUACUUC
rnacentral:rRNA from 1 species